AGUGAAAUAAAAACUCAGGAAUUUCAGAAGGGUUGGGUUCCUGAGCUUACAAAGAGAUGGGUGUUCCAUAGGAAGGACACUUAAUGGCAACAGUGAGUGAUAUGGUUUGGCUGUGUCCCCACCCAAAUCUCAUCUUGAAUUCCCGCGUGUUGUGGGAGGGACCAGUGGGAGGUAAUUGAAUCACGGGAGAAGGUCUUUCCCAUCCUAUUCUCGUGAUACUGAAUAAGUCUCAUGAGAUCUGAUGGCUUCAUAAGGUGGAGUUUCCCUCCACGAAUUCUCUCUCUUCCUGCCACCAUCCAUGUAAGAUGUGAUUUGUUCUCCUUGCCUUCCUCCAAGAUUGUGAGGCCUCCCCAGCCACGUGCAGCUGUGAGUCCAGUUAAACCUCUUUCUUUUGUAAGUUGCCACCUCUCAGGUAUGUCUAUAUCAGCAGCGUGAAAAUUGACUGAUACAGUAGGGAAUAAAAAGAUCAAUAAAACAAAAAUCUAGGAAAUUUGUAGAUUUUCUGGCAGAAAAAAUAUUUAAAAUCCCACAUACCUUAUUCAUAUAAUUCAGUGUGUGUCUGUGUGUGUAUGUAUGUCUGUUACUAUAUCUAUAUCUACAUAUCUGCACCAAAGCACUUUAUAUCUUUAAAAUAAACUGGCAAAACAGUAGAAUAACAAAAACCCUAAUCAACUAUUGUUUUCUCAGUUGUUAAGGUGAAGCUCUUUUUCAUGAUUUUUUAUCUACAUUGAUCUAUCUUCACCUAAUCUGAAUUUUUCUGAUUUGGUUU
rnacentral:lncRNA from 1 species